CUAGCAUCCAGCACACAAGAGGUCAAUAAAUGUGUAGGGCAUGUUUGAAGACAAUAUGGAAUUUUUGGAUGUCUCUGGCCCUUUUGACCACAGUUCCUGGCAGGAUGUUCCCGCUUGCCAUUAUAAAGAUGCAAAAAGGGCCAUGCUCUUGGAUUGUUUCCCCUUGGCUCCUGAAUGAUAGUUAAGGACUUGACAUUUGAAGGUUGCUGUUUUGCCCUCAUUUUAGGUACUUUUCCAGUGAUUCCUGCUCCAUCUCUCCCAACGUUGAGUUAAAUCUUUGCACUCCAACUCAAUCACGUUCUCCUUACUGUUGUUGUUCUGGAUGACGUAAGGACAGCCCUUUGAAAAAGAAAAGCUCUCUAGAGAGCCUAGAGAGAUCACUGUGUUGUGCUUGUCCUUUGUAUGGCUCUACCAUAUUUUAUUGAACCAUUCACCCAUUGAAGGGCAU
rnacentral:lncRNA from 1 species